AGAUCUUGGCAAUUUAUACGCAUGCUGCAUCAUCGAAAUCGAUUGAUCUUGGCAUAAGCUAUGAACAUUUAAAAAUCGCGAAUAUCGCAGUCCACGAUUUUUGUGAAAAGAAUAUUUGGCAAGGUUGAAUUUGGAAGACCUUCUAAUUAAAAAGUUCGACUUACGUAAUCGAAAACGACGAUAUGUAAUUGACGUAGUAUAACGAUAUUCUGAAGCAUCCUGUUUAUAUCGACUACUUUAAAAAGUCCACGCAAAUUGCUUCAAUUUGUCAGGAGAUGUUUAAACGAAUCACGAAAACUUGACAUUUCAUCUCUGCGCCGAAACCUUCUUUAUUCGACGCACCGUGCAACUCCUCGGAUGUUUUUCCAUCGUGAUUUCCUCGACACUUCAUUAAUUCAAGCAUCCUGCUGCUUCGAGGACGACGAUCAACGAGAGGGCAAUUACACGGACCGACGUCGAAGAAAUUCUCUUCUGUACAAAUUAGCCAACUUGCUUAUUACUGCGCCAAUUUGACGGGACACAAAUUUUUUACAUCCGAUUUCACAUUUUCUAUCUUCCUAAAUCGCCGCUUUUUCCUUCCAUUACGUUCAGCCCGCGUUAGAAGAUUCUGCGAAACCUGCGAACACCGCGUUUUAACAAUACUUUUAACAAAUACAAUAUUUGAACAAUAUAAUUUUCUCAAUUUAAUUUAAUUCAAUUAAUAAAAAGUGUGUCCUCCGUUUACAAGUCGUAUGCAAUUUUAUUGUAUUUAAUGAAAAAUUUCGCUACGCUUUUCUGUAUUCUUCAAGAAAUGAUUUAUUCAUUCUUCAUUAGAAAUAUUAUUGUAUUUCGAAGAAUGUACGUUCAACAGAGAAUGAUAUCUCGCCAAAAACAAUACGAACCAAGGGAAAUAUAUACAUCGUUUGGAGAAACUCCGAUCGUUAUUCCAAGCGACGCAAUAAAUUUCUUGAUAAAUCUAUUUAUAUAAAUUCUAAUGUUAAUUUCCUGAUAACGUCAAUUCGUUGGCCCGAUCUACUAAUGUCACAGCCGAGAUUGCGCAACAAGAAAUAUGAUUUCAAUCGUUUAGCACGGCAUCGUAUAAUAACCUGCCACGCUAACGUGAGUAACAGGCUUUCUUCUGGUUCCGACGCGCCUUCUACAAAUAUUCCUCGUGCCCCCUUUGUUAUUUUGCGGCAGAAUAGCGAACCGUAGUACGGCGAUCUCACGGUCGUUUCAAUGAAACGCAGUUCGUGCAGGCUAAUCAAAUUCAUUUUAUAUUUUUUCGUGACUCAUCGUAAUUAGUUGUCGAUGCAGAAAAUAUUCGUUGGAUUCCGUGCGGACAGCUCGUGAAACGUGCGGUUGCUCGAAGGUUGGACAGCGUUGCACAAUGGUCUGGCGAGAUUGUAGUUAUUCUUUAAAUGAAUUAUACUUAGGCUCACGAUGAGUCAACUGUCGUGCGUUGUAAUUGUGGCAUCAGGCUACGAAAUAAUCGAUUACGAGAGAUCAGUUGCUCUCUGGCUGGUACAAAUGUGCACGCAAGACUUUCGACGGCGCUGUAAACAGCGCAGGAGUGAAGGGAAAGAAAAGGAGCGUUUCGUCCUGCGAGUUUCUUGCGCGGAUUGCUCUCGCCAGUGCUCGCAAGUUGUGUGUCCAUUUGAGAGCAGCUUCGAGAGUUUUUACUCUCGGUAAACGAAAGUAGGAGUGAGAGGAAGCAAAACAGCAGGAUAGAAAAGCAACAGGAAAUGGAGAAGUUUUCAUAACUCAAGCAUCAUGUCUGAUUUAAAAUUAUAAACAAAAAUAUUCAUCUAUAUUACGAAAAGAUAAAUUCAUGUCGAAACUGAAGAAGAUAAAAUUCUAUUAAAUGAGAAGAAAGUAGAAUAGCAGAUUAAAAAUGAGAAGAAACUAAUAUUUCGUUCUAGUAGAAAGUAUGUUGAGUUUCGUGUGAAAUUGGGAAGCGAACAUAAAAUUUGUUUUUGGGCGAACGUUCGUUAAUUGCCGAUUAAAACUGAGAAGGAAAUAAAAAUUUUAUUUCAGAAGAAAAUGAAGUAAAUUUAGAUUGAAAUUGAAGCGGCAAAAAAAUUUGUUUCAAUUAGGGGAAGGUAGCAUAAAGUUAAAGUGAAAAUCGCGACUGAAAGGUCGCCGAAUAAUUAAAAUAUAAAAGAAAUUUUUAAUUAAAGGGAAACGUACAUUUGGAAAGACCUCCGGAAGCAGGCCGUCGUGGCGAGAGGCACCUCUUGGAAUGGGUGAGAGUGUGGCAAUGAGAUUGUUAAGUGCCUCUCGCCACGAAGGUCUGUCCAGUAGUGGCCAUCCUGGUGGUGCACCCUUUGUUAGAGCACUUCUGGAAGAGGAACUCCUGCAACGCGACUUCUUCUACCGGCGAUCGCGCUGCAACUGAACAGGCAAUAACGCUGAACCGAACAGGUAACCGAGGGUGACGGUUGGUUACCUUCCCCCCUGACUUCGAUGAACGUCGACCGCCGUGAUCGAUGACGAUCGAUGAUUUCGAUUAUCUCUAAUCAUUUAACGUUUCCAAUAAUUUGUUUCGCCAGACUACUUUAUCGUCUAAAUUUUUGUUCAUAAAAAGAAUCAACGAGAUUUAAAUAAAAAAACAUUUUUAAUAGCACAAA